rnacentral:rRNA from 1 species
CAGUCGCCACGGUAAUACGUAGGUGGCAAGCGUUGUCCGGAAUUAUUGGGCGUAAAGCGCGCGCAGGCGGAUCAGUCAGUCUGUCUUAAAAGUUCGGGGCUUAACCCCGUGAGGGGAUGGAAACUGCUGAUCUAGAGUAUCGGAGAGGAAAGCGGAAUUCCCAGUGUAGCGGUGAAAUGCGUAGAUAUUGGGAGGAACACCAGUGGCGAAGGCGGCUUUCUGGACUGCAACUGACGCUGAGGCUCGAAAGCCAGGGGAGCGGACGGGAUUAGAUACCCCCGUAGUCCCUGUCUCUUAUACA